rnacentral:rRNA from 1 species
CCUACGGGGGACAGCAGUGGGGAAUAUUGGGCAAUGGGCGCAAGCCUGACCCAGCAACGCCGCGUGAAGGAAGAAGGCCCUCGGGUUGUAAACUUCUUUUCUCAGGGACGAAGCAAGUGACGGUACCUGAUGAAUAAGCCACGGCUAACUACGUGCCAGCAGCCGCGGUAAUACGUAGGAGGCAAGCGUUAUCCGGAUUUACUGGGGGUAAAGGGCGUGUAGGCGGGCAAGCAAGUCAGAUGUGAAAACCAUGGGCUCAACCUUGGGCCUGCAUUUGAAACUGUUUUUCUUGAGUACUGGAGAGGCAGACGGAAUUCCUAGUGUAGCGGUGAAAUGCGUAGAUAUUAGGAGGAACACCAGUGGCGAAGGCGGUCUGCUGGACAGCAACUGACGCUGAGGCGCGAAAGCGUGGGGAGCAAACAGGAUUAGAUACCCUAGUAGUC